CAAUAGCGUAUAUUAAAGUUGUUGCGGUAAAAAAGCUCGUAGUUGGAUUUCUACCGAAGAUAGCCGGUCGGGUCUUCGACCUUGUAUCUGGUUUUGUCUUUGGUAUCCUCAUAGGGAACGUUUCUGCGCUUUAUUGCGUGGUGCGGUAUCUAUGACUUUUACUUUGAGGAAAUUAGAGUGUUCACGGCAGGCAAACGCCUUGAAUAUAUUAGCAUGGAAUAAUAACAUAGGAUCUUCGUCCUAUUUUGUUGGUUUCUAGGGCUAAGAGAAUGAUUAAUAGGGAUAAUUGGGGGCAUCUGUAUCAACGCGUCAGAGGUGGAAUUCUUGGAUUGCGUUGCGACAAACUACUGCGAAAGCAUUUGCCAAGGAUGUUUUCAUUGA
rnacentral:rRNA from 1 species